AAAUUCUUUAAAAAUCUUCUUCUCAAGAAUGACAAAGCCAUAAUUCAUCAUAUUUAUAUGGAAGCAUGUUCAGGUAGUGUAUAUUCAAGUUUGUUCAAAUCAUGACCCCCAGGGGUAGGGCGGGGCCAAAAUGGCCGACCAAAGUUUUUAAAGAUAUAUAUAGAAAAAUUCUUUAAAAAUCAUUUUCCAAAAAAUAGCAAAUCCAUGAUUGGUCAUGGGACUACUUUUGGAUUUAAACUUUACAAUAAAAAGCCAUUUUCUACUUUUUCCUACCCUUAGUGCUCAGGUGAGCGAUGUGGCCCAUGGGCCUCUUGUUAUAAUUUAAGCUCACCUGAGCUAUAGUUUCAAAUGAGCUUCCUCUGAUGAAAGUUUUGCUGUUGUCAGUCUCCGAGUCUUUGAUUAGUUUACUUGUCAUGCUUAAUACCAUCAUGCAAUUUUAAGUCAAUUUAAUGAAGGGCCACAUAUUUCUUUAAAGAAGGAGAAAGAAAUUUGGUGAUAUCAUAAAAAUUUUUCAUAACUAUGAAUUGAAAUUUGUGAUAGCUUAUACUAGCUAGAAUUAUGUUCAUUCCAAAAGGACAGAAUCCUGAUUCCAUGGGCCACUAUAGGCAAUCUUAUUCUCUUUGGUCCUUUUUGUCUCAUAGUUUUAAUUCAAAAGAAAUUUUUGUUAAAAGAAAAACUUAUGCAUAUUAUGCUUAAAGCAUGCUUUUAAUAUAUAUAAUAUGAAAAGAAAGAGAGAGAGAGCAAUGUUUCAAACUGAUCAAGAGCUCUGCAGAGUUUGGUUCUGUAGUCAGAUUGCUAUGGAAGUAAGUGAGCAUUGUGGCCCAAGCCCUUUGUUUUUUUUUUUGUUUUUUCUGUUUGGUGCAUUUUGAAGUACAUGACAAUUCAUUAGAUAUUUUAUGUAAAUAUUUUAGCAUAUAGUUACAUGUUGACUGUUUUUGCUAUUUAAUUCCAAAGUUUUGCUGCAAGUAAAAUACAAUUUUUAUCUAUUUUUAAAUGUAGGUUAGUUUUUAUAAAAAGUGUAUUUAUUGUAUGCAAGGUCUUAUUCCUUCUAGUGUAAAUACAUAAACAAAUGUACAUGUAUGUAGAAAAAAAUAAUAUUUAAACUUAAAAUAAUUGUUAAAUUGAGAAAAAUCAAAAUAUGAUAUGAAUGCAAAUAAAUUCUAACUAGUAUGUAUAUAUCUAUCACACAGGGGUUGUUUCCUCCAUUGUAUAAAUACAUUGUUACCACACCAUUUGUUUUUAAUUUAUUUUUCAUUUAUUAUAUGUUAGAUUUUAGAGGGUACACAUCUUUUUAAUCUUUUAAUUGCAUAUUUUUCAAAGACAUAACUUUUCAAUUCACCUUAAAAUUUUAAGUACAUUUGUAAAGUACACUUUUCCAGUAUUUGAAAGACUGUUUUUAUAACUUGACUAGUAACUAAAAUAGUUAUUUUAAGAAAUGCAUAAAAUAACAAGAUGAUGUAUUUUUUUUUUAUUUUGGACACUUUUUAAUCAUCAGUAGGUAUUAAGCCUUAGCACUUGCUUGUUAUAUUUGCCUUCACUGUGGCAGAUUAAUGGUUGAUUUUUAUGGCAGCUCAUUUUGCAUUCACCUCUAUUACUAUGUUUAUAUAUAGGAAAUAAAUUAUAUGGGUAAUCCCCACCAACACCAUCAAACAAAACAUAUUUCAAUAUCUCAUAAUUAUUAUAAAGACUGACAUGUUUAGCUACAUGUAUCAGUUGUCAAUUCCUUUUUUAUCAAAAAGAGCAGAGGAUGGGUCUAUAACAUAAUACAUUGGAAACAUGAAUUUCUGGACAGCAUAUCAUUUAAUAUCUUUGUUGAAUUUCUUUACAACAUACCUUUUUAAUAUUUUAUCAAGGUACAUUUUUUAGGUCACCUGACAGUGUAGAUGCUGUCAAUAUUCUGUGUGGAGAUAAAAAGAUUUAUCCUUUAGGGUUUUCAGUUUAGUCAUAUUCCAAGAACUUUUCUGCUCAAUAAAGUACAUGACUCAACAAUUUCUCUGAAGAAUUUCAUUCAGUAUUUGCAAAUUUAAAAAAUAUCCUUUAAUUACCAAAGAUGCAUUCAACUUUCAUAUUUUGUUUGUAUAUGAAACAUAUCCACUAUAUUUAUAAUAAGACUGUCAUUGAAUAUUGUUGGUUCUUCAAAAAGUCUUACAUUUCCAUCUAAAAUAAUUGAAAUUCAGGAAAAGAUUAGAUAUUUUUUGUAGCCGACCUGUGUAAUUCACAAGGAAUGAAGCUGUAAUGGGUAAAAUAUUGGGCAGCUCUUCAGGAAAAGUUUAGUAGCAUUUAGUAGGUGGUUUCAUAAGCAGUGAGUUUUUUAAUAUUUUAAUAAAUGAUUUCCCAUUAUUAUUAUGUAUAUAUUGAAUAUUAGCAUGGGUAUCAUUGGUGUCAAUUUUUUUUGGAGGGGGUAUAAUUGGACACCCACAUUUUCCAUGUUCUAUGAAUUACUGUGUACCUGGCUCAAUUUGUCACAUUUUAUUUAAACAAGUACACUGCACACUGCACCUGUGUCUUUUUCUUUAGUUACAUACUGUAAUUUUAAUCCUUUGCACUUUGUACAGACAAGUUUUAUAGAGACACUUUAUCCUAUGAUGUAUAUAUAUAUGCAUAUGUAAUAUUAUGUUGGGAUAUUUUAAAAAUAUCUUUACUUUAUAGGUAUACAGUUACCUAUUUUAUUGUAAACUCACCUUAUGAUUACCUGUGACCUGGUGUUAUCAACUUUUUUGACAUUGUCCAGAUUUUUAAUAUGUCAGAGCUGGUCUCUGCUGUUGCAUCACUGAUGUACAGAGCUCUUUCAUAUUUUUGUAAUUUUAUUGUGAUUUAAUCAUUAAAAGCACUUGUGGUAUUGAAUUUGUAUUUUUUAGUUAUCAUUUUUCUUGUGAACAUUUUUAAUAUUUAAUUUUAUCAAACUUAUAAUGCAUUGUCAAGUUUUAUUGAAUCUUACAUUAAAAAUGGAAACUGU